UACGUAGGGGGCAAGCGUUGUCCGGAAUCAUUGGGCGUAAAGCGCGUGUAGGCGGUUCAGUAAGUCUGCUGUGAAAGUCCAGGGCUCAACCCUGGGAUGCCGGUGGAUACUGCUGGGCUAGAGUACGGAAGAGGCGAGUGGAAUUCCUGGUGUAGCGGUGAAAUGCGCAGAUAUCAGGAGGAACACCAAUGGCGAAGGCAGCUCACUGGGACGGUAUUGACGCUGAGACGCGAAAGCGUGGGGAGCAAACAGG
rnacentral:rRNA from 1 species